GACGAACGCUGGCGGCGUGCUUAACACAUGCAAGUCGAACGAUGAAGCCGGAGCUUGCUCCGGUGGAUUAGUGGCGAACGGGUGAGUAACACGUGAGCAAUCUGCCCUUGACUCUGGGAUAACUGCGGGAAACUGUAGCUGAUACCGGAUACGACACCUUGGGGCAUCCCAGGGUGUGGAAAGAAUUUCGGUCAAGGAUGAGCUCGCGGCCUAUCAGCUAGUUGGUGAGGUAAUGGCUCACCAAGGCGACGACGGGUAGCCGGCCUGAGAGGGUGACCGGCCACACUGGAACUGAGACACGGUCCAGACUCCUACGGGAGGCAGCAGUGGGGAAUAUUGCACAAUGGGCGAAAGCCUGAUGCAGCAACGCCGCGUGAGGGAUGAAGGCCUUCGGGUUGUAAACCUCUUUUAGCAGGGAAGAAGCGAAAGUGACGGUACCUGCAGAAAAAGCACCGGCUAACUACGUGCCAGCCGCCGCCGUAA
rnacentral:rRNA from 1 species